UACGUAGGGGGCUAGCGUUGCUCGGAAUCACUGGGCGUAAAGGGUGCGUAGGCGGGUCUUUAAGUCGGGGGUGAAAUCCUGGAGCUCAACUCCAGAACUGCCUUCGAUACUGAAGAUCUCGAGUCCGGGAGAGGUGAGUGGAACUGCGAGUGUAGAGGUGAAAUUCGUAGAUAUUCGCAAGAACACCAGUGGCGAAGGCGGCUCACUGGCCCGGUACUGACGCUGAGGUGCGAAAGCGUGGGGAGCAAACAGG
rnacentral:rRNA from 1 species